UGGCCGGACAAGUCCGUUGGGAAAUCCACGCGCUCAACGCGUGGGCGUCCAGCGGAAACUGUCCGGCUUGGGACCGGAAGACCCGAGGGGUACGUCCGGGGUAGGAGUGAAAUCCCGUAAUCCUGGACGGACCGCCGGUGGCGAAAGCGCCUCGGGAGGACGGAUCCGACAGUGAGGGACGAAAGCCAGGGUCUCGAACCGGAUUAGAUACCCGGGUAGUCCUGGCCGUAAACGAUGUCCGCUAGGUGUGGCGCAGGCUACGAGCCUGCGCUGUGCCGUAGGGAAGCCGUGAAGCGGACCGCCUGGGAA
rnacentral:rRNA from 1 species